UGACUUGAAUCAUUUAUCUAAUGGUUUUAUGGAAAUUUACAAGCGAAUCAUAUGGAGUGGUUAGGAGUGUGAAAACACGAAUCUUACGGUAUAAUAAUUAAAAUAAGAGAAGAUUAUUAAAAAAUUAUACAAGUAAGAUUUUGGUUCCGCGUGGAAAAGGCACUAGAAAGCGCCACGAGUCACUAUCUUUUUUUUUCUUAAUAAUCGGCUACUUCUACUUGCUUCCCACGUUUCUAUCAAAGCCUCCUCCGUACAUAUCUUCUUGCUAUCUAGUUUAGAUUUCUCGAUCACACGCGAGUUUAUUCAAACGCGUACGUUUCACGUAUUAUAUAUCCGUGGUGGUGGUGGUGGUGGUGUCAUGCCUUCGCUGGGAUUUCUUGUUCGUUGCUCAUUGCUGACGACAGUUUUUGACACAGAACAUUCUAAAACAAACUGCUUUGUACUAAUUUUAUAUCAAAACACACAAACAGAGUAGGUAGCUCACUUUCUACUUUCUAGAAUACUUCAUCUGACCCAUACAAAAUCCUAAACAAUCUAUUUAAAACAGAAGACCUACUAAACUAUCAUAAAAAGUAAUAAACCAAUAUCUAUAUAUCUAUAUAUAUCAGAUUUUUGUAUGAUAUUGCUCAAAUAUACGUGUCCACAUGACAAAGUUGUAUAAUAGCAAUGGAUAUUAACGAAAUUGGUAAUCCUUGUAUAUAAAUAUCAAUCAAGUAAACUUGUAAAAGAAGCAUUUUAAAAUAUACUUUUAACAAUAAUCAGAUCAUUCGUAUCUUUUCUUUUUUUGGUUGGUUCAAUUCAUUCGUGUAUAUCUCUAGAAACAAAUUCAGUCUAAUAAUAUCUAGAAGACGGCUGAGAAAAUCACGCGCCGCGAGUUGUGAAUACAAC
rnacentral:lncRNA from 1 species